rnacentral:rRNA from 1 species
GCUUAUGGCCAUACCAGCCUGAAUGCUCCUGAUCUCGUCAGAUCUCGGAAGCUAAGCAGGGUCGGGCCUGGUUACUACUUGGAUGGGAGACUUCCUGGGAAUACCAGGUGCUGUAAGCA